AGCCAUAAGAAGAUAUUUUUGGUUAUACCUGCCCAAUGUUAUAAUAAUGAAUGGCCGCGGUACCCUGACCGUGCUAAGGUAGCGUAAUAAUUUGACUUUUAAAUGGAGUCAGGUAUGAAUGGAGUAACUGGGUUUAGCUGUCUCAAAGGUAAUAUUUUGAAUUUACUAUUCAAGUGAAAAAGCUUGAUUGUGUUAAGGGGACGAGAAGACCCUUAAAAUUUUAUUUAAAAUAGUUUUGUAACUACUUGCGAUUUUGUUGGGGCGACAUAGAAAUAUUUAGAACUUUCUUUAAAAUAUAAGUCGGAAUUUUCAGGAAAAGAUAAAUUACUUAAGGGAUAACAGCAUAAUUCUAAAAUUGAGUUUGUGACCUCGAUGUUGGACUAGGAAGCUAGCAGGUUAGAUGCUUGUUGUGCGGAUUCUGUUCGAAUCUUAACUCCU
rnacentral:rRNA from 1 species